rnacentral:rRNA from 1 species
UUCCGGUUGAUCCUGCCGGAGAUCACUGUUAUCAGGGUCCGACUAAGCCAUGCGAGGCGUGAGUCUUAGGGACUCGCCGCACUGCUCAGUAACACGUAGCUAACUUACCCUUAGGUAGAGAAUAAUCCUGGAAACCUGGGGCUAAUACUCUAUAGGUUUUAGAUACCGGAAUGUACUAAAACCCAAAGCUUCGGCGCCUAAGGAUAGGGCUGCGGCCUAUCAGGUUAAAGUGAGCGUAAAGUACUCACUUGCCUAUAACAGGUAGGAGCCAUGAGAGUGGAAGCUUCGAGAUGCCUUCUGAGACAUGAAGGCAGGUCCUACGGGACGCAGCAGGCGCGAAAAUUUUCCAAUGCACUAACGUGUGAGAAAGGGACCUUGAGUGACUAUGCUAUGCAUAGCCUUUUCUUUAGCCUCGAUAGCUAGAGGAAUAAGUGGUGGGUAAGACAGGUGCCAGCCGCCGCGGUAAUACCUGCGCCACGAAUGGUGAUCACGUUUAUUGGGUCUAGAGCAUCCGUAGCCGGUUUAGCAAGUUUCUGGUGAAAUCUAACAGCUAACUGUUAGACGUGCUGGAAAUACUACUGAACUUGGGAUCGGGAGAGGAUGGAGGUAUUCUACGUGUAGGGGUUAAAUCCUUUAAUCCGUAGAGGACCACCUGUUGCGAAGGCGUCCAUCUAGAACGAGUCCGACGGUGAGGGAUGAAAGCGUAGGGAGCAAAACGGAUUAGAUACCCGUGUAGUCUACGCCGUAAACGAUGUCUGUUUGGUGUUGCAAGUCUUAUGUGGACUUGCAGCGCCGGAGUGAAGAUGUUAAACAGACCACCUGGGAACUACGUGCGCAAGCAUGAAACUUAAGGAAUUGGCGGGGGAACACACAAGAGUGAGGCUGCGUUCAUUGGACUCACGCCGGA